rnacentral:lncRNA from 1 species
AGCCCAUCUGCUGGCAAGGCCAAGAUUAGAACAGCACACAAGAGAAUUAUGAUUUUAAACCAUCCCGACAAAGUGUGUGCUCUUGGCUGGGAUGGACUGCAGUCACGUUAAGCAUUCCUGUCUGUCAGAUGAUUGACGAGCUGUUGCUUGUUUCUACCAGGAAAGAGGUGGAUCUCCUUACUUAGCAUCCAAAAUAAAUGAAGCAAAAGAUUUGCUCGAAGCAUCCAGCAAAGCUAACUGAUGCUGAAGGACUGUGCCAGGGGAAAUGAAACGCAAGACUUUAAAGGUCCUUCAGAAGAAUGUGGGACGUGGUCUUGUCUGACCAAGUCUGUUCUCUGUCACUAAGCGUGCAGCAAUAAAAGCCUUGCAGCCUU